rnacentral:tRNA from 1 species
AGCCUUGAAGUAGCUGUUUACGUUGGAUUGCAAAUCCAAAGACGGAGGCUGAUUCCCUCCCGGGGCUUU